rnacentral:lncRNA from 1 species
UGGGAGUGUGGUGCUGAGUAGGGCUUAGCUUUCAUAGCUGUCGAGUCGAAUAGGCACGGCAUCUGCCUGCAGUGUGCGAGCCCUGCACUUGCCUUCAUCCCUCUGCUCAGCUUCAGCCUUCUGUCGGAGCUGUAGUGAUGCCUCACUCUGGAUUUUAAUUAACAUUAUCCUAACAAUGAUGAUACAGGGACCAGACAUUUAUUCCAUAGAUGGCAAGGAGCUGGGCUGCUCUAAAAGCCCCUCUCUCUGCUUUGGGUUUCACCUGGAGAAAAGAUGCUCCCUACCCUUAGCAAGUCCCAACAUCCACAGCAUUGCAGAGGGCUGUAACCAGGGAAACCGUCGAUGCUCUCUGGAGUUGGGAGAAUUUCUUGGCAUCUUCCCCCAGUUCACAUUCUGGUGCAGAUUAUGAAGUUUCCCACAGGGUAUUGGAAGGGCCGCUUCUUGGUGUUUGGGAUUAUUCUCCAUGCCAACCCUUCGACGUACGAUCUCUUUGGUGUGUAAAGUGUUGCUGUGUUUGUGUGACUCUACAUCCAUUAGUUUCAGUCAGUGAGGGAGGUGUGGCGGCAGCUAUUAGAAAGACCUAGGCCAGUAGACUUUUUCCUGAAGACUUGCCUGCAGCGAGAAGGCAUGGCUGAGAGCAAUGGAGUCUAGCAUGCAGAAUAACACGCAUGAAGAUGUCACAGAGACCACCCCCCCCCCAGUUGCUCAGGAAUGUAACUGUGCAGAGUGUGUGUCAUGCCAUGCUGCUUGCUUAGGAAGAUGCACACAUAGGAGGAAGCAUGAGUUGGGCCUUGAAAGAUGAGCAGUAGUUUCAUCAGAUAUGUGAUGUUAGAGACCAACAAAAUCACAGCUCUGGGACUUAACCAGUUACCUGGGCAGGUGGUUGGUAAAUAGGUGGUUGGUGCCCAUCAACCCAGAUAUAGGCACUGAGCUGAGACUGUGGGUGUUGGUAUGAUAUAAUGCUCAGCUCCUACUCCACCAGGGACCCUUGGUAAGGGACAGCAGAACACAGGACUGUGAGCCUCCAUCUGUUAACUACCAAGAGCUUGGAAAGACUUCAGGAUGGUGGCUUCUGACAAAGGCCUUGAGGGGCUGUAAGAAUUUGACAGCAGAAACUGGGAGAUGGCUUUCCUGCUGCAGACCCCAGCAGAUGCAAGGGCAGAGUAAGGGGAGCAACAGAGGAGGGUUUGAGGACGAUAUAGACCCAGAGUCGGACUCCGGCUUCUCCUCCUGCCUUCUUGUCAUCUCCCUUUCUGCCUGCCUCCCAUCUUCCUUCCUUCCUCCUUCCUUCCUUUCCUCCUUCCUCCCCUCCCUCUGGGUGGGACAUUACAUCGUCCCUCACACUGCAGGAUUCAGCAGCAUUGGCACAUCCACAAUGUUGUAUGGCCAUCGCCUCUGUCUGUUUCCAGAACUUUUCCUCACCUGGAAAAAGGAAGAUGCCGCCAGCAUCCGAUCCCAACCACAGGCGCCCAAGUGCUGUCUGUCCCCAAGGAUCUUCCGAGGGUAGGAUCUUUGCAGAAGGAAUCUUAGAGUUUGGUGAUCUGUGGCCUUGGCGGAGGCUGCUUCUCCUUCGCUGACACUGGAGCUUCCUCCACACUCCCGGUGUCAGGCUCUGUUGUCUGGUGGCAAUAUUCUGCCGUAUGGAGACAGGGCCAGCCCUGGGCUAGAUUUCCCCUUGGAUGCUAUGGAAAUGUGAAUGUGCACCCCACGUGCAGCAUUCUUGAAUCUGGUGUUCUGUUCCUUCUGGUAUAAACCCCGGGAGCGAAGUUGCGACAUGUGUUGAUUCUGUGUUGGAACUCCUGAGAGCAUGGUGCCUCUUUGCGCACUAGAAUGGAGGUAAUGAUAGCCAUCAGAUGAAAGACAGAACGGGACAGUUAAGAAGCCACGCAAGGCAGCAAGGCCUCUGGGUGUCUGGGCAGGCUACACUAAUGAGGCUGAAAGGCUGGGCGAGCAUUGAGAGACAGGAGGCUGCAUGCCCCAUUGGCUGCCUCUGCCCCUGGGCCAGGAAGCUUGUAGGGGAUUUCCCCAUAGGAUGGGAAGGAAGAAGCAGGUGCCUGGUACCCUGUGAGCCUUGCAUGCUGUGAACCUGGAGGCUGCCUCCUCAGUACAUAUUCUCUCAAGGAGCAGCUCUUAUGGAUUCCUACCCUGGGGAGCCCCAGCCUGCUGCCUGGGUGGGUUCUUUCAUUCACCAGACACCCCUCACUCACCUUUCGGGUUGUUCAGGUUUGGCCAGCAGCCCAGCUCUCCCUGCACAUCAUGCUCUCCCUGAUACCUACUCUCCUCUCACAGAGUCAGAGUUGGAGUCUGAGAGAAAGGGAGAGGCUGUGACAGUGGGGUCACCCGGAGGGGAUCUUUGUACUUUCUGCAGGGACACAGCAUCCUGGUGAUUCCUACUCUUGCCUUCCUCCCUCCCAAGUUGCUUCCCUAGAGGGGUUAGACACAGUGGCACAUGCCAGUAAUCACAGAUUGGGGUGGCUAAGGCAAGAAAAUCGUCGGUAAGGCGAGCCUGGCUACAGAGUGAGACCCUAUCUGAAACAAACC